rnacentral:lncRNA from 1 species
GGAGAUGGCUUGGAGGGUGAACAUUCUGCUCCGUUUUACCAUUAUUUUAGGAUUCUUGGCUCUGUGAAGUCCACUAUGGAGCGUCUAUAAUCUUUAGUGUAUAUAUAUCUUUAUUGUCUUGUUCCAGAAUUCUAGCAUUUUUUUUGUCAACCUAGUGAAUGAUACGAAGGUUGAUUGGUGUAAAUUUCAUGUGAAUUAUUUUUAUCUUUAUGAAGGUUGAUUGGUAUAAAUUAUCAAUUUAUUUCAUGUUUAUUGUAAGGAGUAAAUAUUAUAAAUACAUUUACUUUAUUUUUCCUCUACCUAAUAUUGAUCAAGUUUUUUACUAAUAUGAAGCCCUAUGUCCAUUUUUCCGAUAAUAUGAUGCAGAUGGACCGGCAAUGGAUGUACAACACGGACAGACGGACCAAGGAGUUCGUUGAUGACUUGCAUUAUUUUCUCGAAGUGGCCAAAGCCAACCAGCCAGAAAAGGGAUUCAUGUAUUGUCCAUACUUCCAAUGAUGUAACAAGAAGGACUACUCUUCUUGCCGGACUCUUCACAGCCACUUGUUUAGUUACGGUGUCAUGCCUAAUUAUUUGGUUUGGACCAAGCACGGCGAAAGAGGAGUUAUAAUGGAAGACGACGAAGAAGAGGAGGAUCAUAACAACAUUCUAGACUGGGCUGCAGGCCAAGCCUUUGCAAAUACUACAAUGGGCGAGGCUGAUGAAGAAGAGUUUGCAGAAGACGGUCCUACUGAUGAUCUUGGUCACGUGCUAUGGGAUGCACAGAAAGACUCUGAAACAGAGAAGAAAUUAGAAAAAUUGCAGCUUAUGAUAGAUGAUCACAGAAAAUUGUUGUACUCAGAUUGCAAACAGGGGUAUAAAAAGCUGGGUACCACACUAGAAAUGCUGCAACGGAAGGCAAAAAAAGGUGUGUCCGAUAAGGCAUUUUCAGGGGAUAUUGAAAAUUGUAAAGAACAUGCUUCCCGAGAAUAAUGAAUUGUCAUCCACAACAUAUGAAGCUAAAUAGGUUGUUUGCCCUCUGGGCUUGGAGGCUCAAAAGAUACACGCAUGACCUAAUAACUGUAUCAUCUAUCAUGGUGACGAAUAUGAGAAAUUAGAUGCUUGUCCUGUGUGCGGAGUGCUGUGGUAUAAGAUCAGGCGAGAUGAUCCUGGUGAUGUUGAGGGGCAGCCUCCCAAGAAGAGACUUUCCGUGAAGGUGAUGUGGUAUUUCCCUAUAAUACCUCGUUUGAAAUGUUUAUUCAAAAAUAAGGCGAAUGCUAAGUUGAUGCGAUGGUACAAAGAAGAACGUAAGUAAGAUGACAUAUUGAGACACCCAGCUGAUGGAGCCAGAGCAUUCCCGGACUUUGAAAGGAAUGCAACAUCCGGGCGUUAGCAGUGCUGAAAAGUAUAUUUUACUCCCCCCACCUAUCCACUUUGUCCACUUAACCCCUAAAAAAAUUUAGGCCCACUUUACUCUCCUGAACUAUUUUAUUUGGUCCAAUCAAGCCCCUAAAUAGAUUUUUCUUUUUUUUCUCAUGUAUAAAUUGAAUUUUGAGUUCAAAUUUUUUGAGCAGAUAAAUAAUAUGACGCUUAUGUUAAAAAAUUAUACUAAGAAUUUUUCAUGAUUAUUUUUAUAGGUUAGGAAUAUUUAAUACAAAAUUGAUCUUAGACAUACAAAACUGUACAAAAAUUAAUCAUGAAAAAUUGCUAAUGUAUUUUGCUAGCGUAGAGCAUCAUGUUAUAAGUUAACUGGCAAAAAUUGAAAAUUAAAACUCAACUUGUAUGCGAAGAAAAAAAAGAGAAAUCUAAUUGAAGGUAGAUUGGACCAAAUGAAAUAAAGUGAGCUUAAAUUUUACUUAGGGGUUAAGUGGACAAAAUUAAUAGGCGAGGGAAGUAAAAUGGACUUUUCAUCAAAUUUUCACAGGAAGUACCAAAAUGUUUGAGUUGUUGAUUUAUUACUAUAAUAUAUGCUAGGAUAUAUCAGUUCAAUGGAAAAUUAUCUUCGUCAAAACUAUCACUAAUAAGGAUCAAAUGUAUUUCUUGUGAUAGUCAGAUCUAAAAAUCCACGACACGAGUCGCGUGGACCUCCUAAAGUAGAAACAAUUUCAGUUAAAACAUGUUUUAUCAUAAAUUUUGGGGAAAUGGGUUUUAGGUUGUUACUCCAUCCAUCCCAUAUUAUAGCCAUGUUUAGAUUUUUUUCAAAGUCAAACAUUUUUAACUUUCAUCAACAUUAUCUCUAAAACUAAAUUAUAUUAAAUAGAAAAGGUUACAUAAUAGUCAGUUCCACGAUAAUAAAUGAGUUCUACGCCAAACCAAGUUUGACUACCUUAAAUCUUUUUUUAUGCAAGACUACCUUAAAUCCAAAUUAACUAAAUCUAGUUAAGAUAAAACUAGGAUGCAAACAACACCUCGUUGGUUAGGUUCAUUGUCUCCCACCGCCUCUCUCUACCCCGCUAUUUUAAGAUUAUUAUAGGCAUAAUCAAUCCUCCAAGCACUUUGUAAUCCAAUGAUAAAAAGAGACUAACAAUUUAUUGUCUAUAAUACGGAUUUUAUAAUUUAUAGCUACUAUCUAUAUUUUUGUAAUCCAUAUUCCAUCCAAAUAGGCACCGACACUACGGGAAACAGUAAAGUUGCCGAGUGCUACAGGCACUCGGCGAAGACCCAAAAACACUCGGCAAACAGUUUGCCGAGUGUAACACUCGGCAUAUGGCACACGGCAAAUUUUGUGUCAGCAAACAGAUGUUUGCCAAGUGUCAAACCUCGUGCACUCGGCAAACGUUUUGCCAACGGCCAAAAACACACUCGGCGAAAAUUAACACUCGGCGACAACAGCGAUGACGGCGUCCAGGUUAACGGCGCGUUUGCCGAGUGUCAGCCUUGAGGCACACGGCAAAUUCGAGGCGGUUUGCCAAGUGUUGGCGCCUUGGCACUCGGUAAAUACAUGGACCUUUGCCGAGUGUCAUGGUCGUGGCACUCGGCAAAUACAUGGACCUUUCCCGAGUGCAGCCAAAACACUCGGCAAACAAGCGACAGCAGGUGGUGCAACUACCCACUUUGCCAAGUGUUAAAGCCAAAACACUCGGCAAAGAAGGGCUUUGCCGAGUGUAACACUCGGCAAAGUGGACAGUACCCCCCUUUUAUACCCAUUUUUUCACGUAUAACAGACCCCUCUCAAUUCACAAUACAUAUCAUCACAGGCAUUUGUAAUAAACAAUCACAGGCAUAAUUCACAACCACCAUUACAAGCAUUAUUCAUAAACAUCACAGGCAUAAUCCAACAUAAGCAUGAAACAAUCCAUAAAUCCAAGUUCAAGUCACAACUAAGUUUCACCCAAGUUCACAACUAAGUCUAGUUCCGUGGAGGCCAAGAAGACCACUGCGACAAAUCUUGAUCUUCAUUAUUCGAAGCCGCCGAUUGAUUCUGCACAUAGGAUAGGACAUUCUGAGCUAACAUCUAAAGUUGUCAAAAUUAAAGUAUUCAAUCUUAAGUACAAUGUGUCAAGUGACUCACAGGAGUAGUUGUGGGUGGCUGAGGUGGAGGGAACAGCAUCGGUGGCGGAGGCAAAGAUUGACCCAUGGUCGAAGCAAAAUUCUGCAUGUACUGGAAUAUCUGGUCCAUCCUCAUCUGAUUUUCUUCCUCCAUCCUCCGCCGCAUCUCCUCCAUCUGCGCCGCCAUCUCCUCUUGUUGCUUCCUUGCUGCUUCCACCUGGGCCUACAAUAUUUCAAUGCAAUGCUAUAAUGCAAAGCUAAAGUAUAACAACGAACGAACGAUAAAUGGAAGAGAAAGAACCUGGAGAGCCUCCAUCUGGACUGUGCAGUGGUGGGUCGUGGCCGUAUCGCCAGGCUCAAGUUCGUGCUCCUUGCUCGGAUCUGGGAGAGAGUGGGAGUAGAGUCCGUGUCGAUUACGCCGUCGCCAAUCCAAUAUCGGCCAUGCUUCUUGCCACCUCCCAUCCUCAUCACGAUUUCUCCAUCAAUGUCCUCGGAGCUCGGAUCGAAGUCUGGCCCGUGAACCUCCCUAGCCAUCAUUGUAUACUCGGUGAUGCGACUGUGUAUGAUGAUGGUUGUACGCCUCGGACGGGUCAUCCGGGUCGAAAUCGAUAUCGGCCGUCACCUUGCCCUUUUUGGAGAGGACCCAUGCCUUGAGCUGGGAGCAAGGUCGGCCAUCAUGUGAUGACGACUGCGGCAAAAAAUACAAAAUGAUUAGGAAUUAUGCAGAAUUGAACGUUAGAAUACAGAAUUGAAGUCGCUGGUGUGGUGCAGUCGGCAUCUGCAAAUGCCGCUACCGGCAAGCAAGGUGGUUCUCCAACCACCCGGGCUCCAACCACACGUCCACCAUCAUCUCCCAGCACCGGAUAUGCGCACGGCACCACCACAGAGGCACCUACAUCAUCAAGCGUGUGACAUAUGAAAAAAGAAAUUGAGCCUAAUUAAUCUUAAAUAAAGUAAGUAUCAACGUUCUUUACUUACCCUCAUGAAUUGGUCCUUGGUCAGGUUCAUUGUCCUUGCCUCCUCUUUUCUAACCUUCAUCCGUCUGUAUUGAGCGUAGAAUUCGAUGAUGGCCUGGAUGCGUGCCUCGUAAUGCAUGUCCUUCAUGAGCUUCUUGGCGGCUAGAUCAGAGACGGCCUUCGCCUUGGCCUCGAAUCCCUCCUGCCAUCUAUAGAAAUCCUGCAUAUAGACGCGAUGUAUACAAUUAUUAUUUCAAGAAUGUCGAACGUAGGUGACGUAUUGAGCAAUGUAGCGUGGGAGUACUUACCCACGGCUCGGCCUUCACCCACUCCGCUAUGUUGGGGAAUCUCCUCUAUUGACGAUCAGGGACGUCGGGGGCGGCGACGUUGUGGUCCCACGUGUAGGCCGGCUGCUACUGUCCGGCGUACACCACCAAGCUAGGGAAGUGAAGCCUGCACAAAAGGCCAAGGAUCCCGUUGGCCUUACGGUUGUGGCCACCCCCACUGAGCUUAAUCCAACUCCUGCACAAGUGAUUAAUAUAAAUUAUUAGUUUUUGUAACUUUCAACAUAAGAACAUUAUUGAGAAUAUUUAAAGUUACUUACUUGGUACCACUUGGUUUAAUCAGCGGGCGUAAAUGCUCAGGUAUCGGACGCUUUGGGAGGGAUGAGGGACCUCGCAACCAUAUCUUGGACUGGGCAUCCCUUGCCUCUCCGUCCCCCUCCUGCUCCUACUGCUCCUCCUCCUCCUCCUCCUCCUCCUCCUCCUCCUCCUCCUCCCGCUCGUCGUCACCAGAGGCAUGUGCGGAAGGUAGCUCCUCCUCCUCCUCCUCCUCCUCCUCCUCCACCUCAGGUUCAGGCGACGGGGGCCUCGCUGCUUUACCCUUCCCUCGAGGCCUCUGGACCACCUCCUCCUCCUCCUCCUCCUCCUCAACCCUACGUCUAGCUUGGUGUAGUCUGACGUGAAUCCAUUCUUCACAAGAUGUUUGCCCAUGUCUAGCUUAGUUUGCCGACGCAUGUUUCCACAUUUGCUACACGGACACCAAGUCGAUCUAGCUCCUUUGACACUUGCAAACGCCCGUUCCAAGAAAGCAUCCGUCUUGUCAAUCCAUUCAUUGGUCAACGUAUUCUGACUAGUGCGGCCCGUGUACAUCCACUGACGAUCCUCCAUCCUCUAGCAUAUAAGAGAGUAAUACAAAAAUCACAUUGCAUCUACACGUUCCUAUAUUGUCUAUUAGGUGAAGAUAGGACAUAAUCCCACCAAAGGAUGUGUAGGUGGGUUUAGUAUCCAUGGUCUACUCCGACCCGAGAUAGAAUUUCGGCAGUACCUCCCCGCUGUUCUCCAAAUACACGUCCUUGAUGGGAGAUUGUGUAUCCGGAGAACAACAUGGAGGUGCUGCCGAAACUCUAUCUUGGAUCGGAAUAGACCAUGGAUACUAAACCCACCUACACAUCCUCGGGCUAUCCAAAAAAUGUGGACAAUUCGAAACAGAUAUGGUUAUAGAUAUGCAAAGAUCUGCAUAUUUCCAACCGUAUCUCUUUCGAACGGGAGACGCCUAACUAGGUUACGUGAUAUACGAACAUCAUAUGGAAAGAGAGGUGUAGGAUGCCUCACCUUGCUAUCCUACAAAGUGAUGACUCGAGGAUCGUAACAUAGGCUCUCCUGCAAAAAAAGAACAUACUACUGUUAAGUUAAAAUUUUGACAGCACCUCCCCUGCACGGGGAGGUUUCCAUAACCUGGAUCAAAUAAAAUGGCUCAAUGGCCGACAAUCACAUCUACAACAACGCAAUGGCACGAUGGCCGACAUCCACAUACAGUUGUUAUACCUUAAAUUGCCAAGUCAAACAUUCUUUCCUAUCCUUUUCUAAUUUCUAAUUCAUCCUACCACCUCUCUACCUUUUCUAAUUUCUAAUUUCAAUUUUCUAACUUGAAGAACAAAGAUUGAAGAAUUACCGGAGGAGAGGUGAGGGGCACUGGCCGAGAGGGGCGAGGGGACGGGCGGGGCACGCCGGGGCCGGGGGCGCGAUGCCGGGGGCCGAGGCGUGGGGGCCGGCGGGGAGCGGCCGGGGCUGACCGGGGGCGGCACGGGGGCCGACGCAGGGGCCGGCGAGGGGCAGCCGGGGGCAGGGCGAGGGCCGGGCGGUGCGGGGCCGAGGGCCGGGCGGCGCGGGCGGGGCGUGCGGCGCGUGUGGGUGUGUGGGUGUGGGUGUGUGCGUGUGCAUGAGUUAGGGUGGGGGUAGGCUGGAUUAAUUUCUAGGCUUUGCCGAGUGCUAGAUCGCGAGCACUCGGCAAAGGCUUUUUUUAUUUUUUUUCGGAUUUUCCAGGCUUUGCCGAGUGCUAGAUCGCGGGCACUCGGCAAAGGCUUUUUUUUUUGGAUUUUUGAACGGUACCAUCACUGGGAAGUGGGCCCGUGGAAAUGUUUGCCGAGUGUCCUAGGCUUGACACUCGGCAAAGCACUGCUUUGCCGAGUGCCUCGAUGCGACACUCGGCAAAGUACGCUUAUAUUUCAUGUGUAAACUUUCACUAAUAUGUUUUAGUAAUUUAAAGUCUGUAAACUUUGCAAAAACCUAGUCAAAUUCACUAAAUAAUGCCUAUUUCAUUUUUUACUAAUAUUAUUCCAUUAUUUCAUGGAUUUAUAGCUCAUAUUGAAUUUAUAUCUAUUAAAUUUAUAUAAUUGCAAUUAAUAAAUAAAAAUUAUCAAACGGAUCCAAAAAAUUCCCAAAAUUUGACAUGAACCAAUCUAUGUUGUCUAUGGCCUAUAAAAAAAUUUUGAACUCAAUGCCAAAUUCAAGUAUCAAUUCAACUCAAAAUCUUACCGGAUCCUUCCAACUUCUACGAAUCCUCUCCGGAGAUGCUUUGAUUUCUAAGCAUCAUAUGUCAAAAUUUGUGCGAAACCUUCUCAAUUUUUUACCACACCCUCCACAUAUGAAAUCAUAGCAUAUUAGCAAAUCUCAUGAUUUUCAAACUUCAUUUGUAUUUUUGAGCAUUAAAAAAUCAUUCGACCACACGUUCCUGGUCGUGUUUUCUUAACAAAGUGCUCGAAAUUUCUUAUCAUUUCCCGGAUGAGACCUCAAUUCGGACUCAUUAACAUGAAUAUGAUUUUUCCACUCAUAUUAUUCCAUUAUUCCAAUCACUUGCAGUUCAAAUUUGACUUAAAUCAACAAAUUACUCUAAAUGAAAUCAAUUCAUUAAAUAUAGCAAACAGGUCAAGAAAUAGACCACCUUCUAACAUGCAGUGCCAAAUGUCAUACGUGGGGAGUACAAAAAGUUUGGAGGGUGGAGGAGUGUAACACCCAAAAUUCCAUCAUGAAAAUAAUGUAAGCAACUCGUUCUAGUUUUUCGUGCUCUAAGGAAUGAAAUAAAUUACUUUAAUUAAAUUACGGUCUUAAAUAAUUAAAGAACACUUCAAAUAAUUUUAGAAGCAAUAAGUGCUUGGUAGAGUUUUUAUUUUCUCUUCUAUUUUUGGCUUUUGUUUGAAUGCUUGCUUUUGAAUUUCAAAAAAAUUUGAAUUUGAUUUUGAAAGCUUCAACUCUAUUUAAAUUCUCAAAACCCUCCACCUCUCUUUCCUCUCCUUGGGCCGAAAUCCCUCCUCUCUAUCUUUCAGCUCGCAAGGCAUUUUUUCCCUUCCCCCUUCCAGCCGCAUGGGCCUAUCUAUCCCGCCGGCCCAUCUUUUUUUUCCCCCUCUUUUUUUCUUGCGCCGACCCAACCCCCUUUCUUUUUCUGGGCUGCCACCUCCCUCUCUUUUCCUCCCCACCAGCCGGCCCAAACUGGCCCAACCGGCCUGCCACCCCCUUCUCCUACCUCCAGGCACCUGGAAUGCUAGGAGCCAGGCGCACGCACGGUGCCACCUGUGCGCCCCCCCCCCCCCCCCCCCCCCCCCCCCCCCCCCGCGUCCCUCGGCCUCCCGAGCCCUUCUACGACCACUCCCGGCCUCAAACCGUCGCCCCAUCCUUUCCUCUCCCCGGAAACGGCCGCACAAGCUUCAAGGCCAUUAAUGGCCGGCCGACCUUCGAUCUCUCCCGGAGGCCCCUUCCGGUCCUCCCCGGGGCCUAUAAAGGUCGCCAUCGACCUCUCCCGGAGUUUCUCUUUCCGUUUUGCUACUCACCCGCCUCUCUCUCGCACCGCCGCGCCGCCGCCCAAGCCACGCCGCCGCCCGUCCUAUCGCCGGCGAAGUUCCUGUUCUUCUCUGGUGAGAGCUCUCUCCUUCCUUCCCUCCUCCUCUCUCCCCCUCUCCCCCACCGGGGCGCCGCCGCCCGCGCGCCGGCGAGGCCUCCCUCCCACGCCGGCGAGACCCCCUCCCCGUCGGCCAUGCCUCUGUGUGCUUGGUUGCCUAUUGGAGGAAGAAGAUAAGGCAUUUUGCGAUCUAGUCCCUGAACUCUCUGUUAUUCCUUUUACUUAAUUUUUGUGUCUUGUAAAUCUUCCAGAGAAGCCCCUGAAGUUCCUGUAUUCUUUUAUUUUAACCCGAGCCAUGUCAUCUUGUAAAUCUAACCCUAUGUUUCUCUGUUUUCGCUUGUACUGUUCAAUAUAUCUUUCUAAAAUUCCAUGCUAGCCCCUGAAGUAUAUAGUUAAUUCUGUUUUAGCCCCUGAAACUUGUUUAUCUCAUAUCUUCUUCGUUUUAAAUCCGAUUUCAGCGAUUCUUGUGCUCACGCGAUCAUCUCUACAUGAACGUUAGUUUUAGGAGUUUGCUGUAAGCUUUUGCAUAUGUUUGUUAUACUGUUUUAAUCAUUCUUUGUUUGUUUGCCUUGUAUGAUCGUGUAGAUGACGUGACGUUCGCAGAGGAGCAAGUCCAAGAGCAGCCACUGUUCGAAGAAGAGUACCUCCAGUUUGCCGAGGAAGGCAAGUGGCCUUCUCCCCCUGCAUGUUCUUUUUGUCCCAAUAAUAUCAUGAUUAAACACUUUAUUUAUUUCUUGUAUGUGCAUAAGUUUGACAGGAAUGCCUAUUAAGGACUUACCUAGUUUUAAUCCUUAUUCCUUGAAAACCUGUUUAAUCAUGUUGGGUAGACUUGCUAGUCGCUUAAAUUGGGUUGGUAAUGUUCUAAUCAUGAAAGAUGUUAAUCAUGUUUUAUUUAUGUUGCUAUACCUAUUUAAUUGCAAGAACACUUAUUUUAAUCGGAACAUGGAGAAUCACCCAAGAAAACAGUACAACCACAACAUCACAUGGCUCUGAUCUUAGCUGAAUAAUUAGGCAUGUGGUUAGCUGGUGGCUUUACCGAAAAGGUAAGGAGGGGGAAGGUGUUGGGUGCACGAUCCGGAGCAGUAGCCUUCGCUAAGGUGUUGUCUCAUUAACGGGUUGUGGUCCGCAUCGCUACUGAAACUCUAGCGGGCUACAAGUUAUCUACGUGUCUUUGUAAAGGCUUCAUAGUGGACCCCCCAGCCACUCACCAAAGGAAGUGUUUAAGGGCUUUGCAAACCCGGACGACACGGGGGACCACGAGUUGUGGGUAAAGUGUACAACCUCUGCAGAGUGAAAACUGAUAUAUCAGUCGUGCUCACGGUUAAGAGCGGCUUGGACCCUCACAUGAUAAUUGAACUUAAAGAUGAGAAUUAAUUGUGUUACCUUUACCUUUGGGAUAUGUUAAUGUUAUAUGCUUAAGUGGGUUGGUAUAAACUUACAUCUAGUAAUUAGGUGCUGCUAAUAAAAAUUUGACCAAUUAAAAUGCUAAUCGCUUAAAGCCUUCGGCCAUUCCUUGUGAGCCUUGCAUGUUUCCCCCACUUGCUGAGUACCAACCAUAAGUGUACUCACCCUUGCCCAAACGCUGUUCAGAAGCUUGUGACGAUGGGGAGUUCUUCGACGACUUUGAGGAGUUCUAGGCAGGUGUUCACCAGUCAAGCCUGUGGAGAAGCUACGCUGUGUGUGUGUGUGCGUGUUAGGUUGUCGGUGAACGAUUAAAGACCUUCGUGUCAAUCACGCUGAGUGUAAUAAAGUUCCUACUGAUUUAUGUACGUUUUUGAACACUGUCUUUGAUGUAUUCACUGAUGAUGUCAACAUAUGUGUGAGAACGGAUCCUGGCACACAUAUGCGAUGCAUUCAGUUUUAUCCAGAAACCGGGUGUGACAAGGAGGGAAAAAUUGUUUCGGUUUUGCCGAGUGUCGCAAAAAACACUCGGCACAUAUUCAUGUUUGCCGAGUGUCGCAAAAAACACUCGGCAAAGAGUCAUGUUUGCCUAGUGUCCUAGAAAACACUCGGUAAAUAGUCAAUCUUUGCCGAGUGUCGACAGCGGACACUCGGCAAAAAACAAACGUCCGGCACACCCCCUAAUGGACGCCGCACAUGAAGUUGCCGAGUGUCAUUUAUUUGCCGAGUGUCGGCUACGAGUUUGCCGAGUGUUUUUUGUUUGACACUCGGCAAAUAGGAUUUAUGCCGAGUGUAUAAUAUUUGCCGAGUGUUUUCAUUUUGACACUCGGCAAACACGUCCUUUGUCGAGUGCUUGAGAUAAUGCACUCGGCGAAUAAAAAACACUCGGCAACUUUACUGUUUCCCAUAGUGCGAGUCAUCUGAGUCUGAUGGUUUAAAUGAAACAUACCCUCAAAGUGAUCGUCACUCCAGUGAGUAGCAGCAUGGUAGUAGUAAAGAAAAGGACUAAUCAUAUCAUAAUAUCCAUUUCUCAGAGAAUCAGUAAUAAUGUAGUCUGCGGGUCUCGUUGUAUGCCUCGUCUAGAAAGAGAAGAGAAGAACUUAAAGAUUAUUUGCUCGCGGGAACCAGAAGUUAAUAAAAUUGUUGUGGAUAUGGAUCUUGUAGUGUAAAAAAGCGGAGAAAGGAGUUUGCCAUAAGAUGAUAAAUGAAAACGGCUAGCCCAUUGCAAGGUUUGGGGAGAAGUGAUUGUCUCGUAGUGAGCAAGGAAUAUAGUUUUUCUGCUAGAAUGAUCUAUUAAACUUAUAAAUAAUUCAUUAAGUCCUUGUUAGCAAUGUUAACUAGGCAUCACAAGGAAGUGGAUCCUAAUUGUUCAAUCCUUUGAUAACCAAUAUCUUUUUUAACUUAUUAUUCUUUACAUGGUACGGGAUGUAUCCGUCCGCGACAAGUCAUCCAAGUGCGCAAGGAGGCUCGCCGGCCGAGGAUUCAGGCCGGAGAGGAGGCAGACAGUUCCACCGAUGAACACAACCCCAAGGCUCAGGUAGUCCAAGCAGGCCCGGCGCAUCUCGUCAUGAACCUCAUCAGGCGGCAAGCUGAAGACCUUGUACAGCCCGGCAGCUAACGUGUCUAUGGUCGAGGCGGCGGGCUGAAUCAAAUCAAUAUGAUCAGAUUAUCAGUUACCUGCAUUACAUUCAUUCUGUUCAUAGAUAUGAGAAAUGCUCAAUAUGAUAUAAGUUAUAUAACCACAUUGAGACAGCGACCUUUCGCAGGGUGUAGAAUGAUUCUAGACGGUUGCGCAGGGAGGGCGAGUCGUGCAGGUUCCGCAGGGGCCUGAGAGAAGGCUGCGCAGGAGGACGACGUCCGACAGCGCGACGGUCAUGCCCCCGCCGGCCGGUUAAAGGAUGGCGCAUGUUCAGGGCAUCCCCCAGCAAGACCAUGCCGGGAGUUGGAAGAGGCGCGGCGGGCAUAUGCUCCUGCUGGGCGUUGCCCUGAUGCAUCCCUUAGGGUGUGUUUGGUUGCAUGGACCACAUGAUGCAUGCAUGGAUGAUCCUGGAUGGGGUGGUUCAACCAAUUUGCUUGUACCAUAUGGUUCACUCUAAUUAGUAGAAUAAUGUAUUAAGUGGGAUGGUUUCAUCCUGGAUGAGUUGGUACAAUUCACCCAACCAAACAAAAGGAUCAUCAUUAUUUUGAAUUAUUUGAUACAUGAAUCAAAUGAUACAAUCAACCAAACACACCCUUAGUGUCAACAAACCUCAUCCCCCCAUGACGACGAUCAUCCUUGUUGCCGUUGUUGGCACCUUGGUCUGUUCUAGAUAAUCCUUGCUUUUGUUAGUAGGAUAAUAUUCGUUAUAAUUUCUGAUUUAAGCAAUUUUUGCGCUAAUAACAAUAGACGAGUGGUUUCAAUCAUUUGAAGUAGGAUAGUACGACCUCACUCCUACUAAAUACGGUACAUUUAAUAACGGAAGGAGUAUGCUUAAUACAGUAUAUAGCAGUAGACGUAGGACUCCACUCCUCAUUGCUACGACACCAUCUUUAUUUGCCUUCAUGUUGAAGUUUUAUUUUUCCAGGACAUGGCCAAUGAUCCAGCCCCAAUCCAAAGAUUAAUCAUUAAAAAGAUUCAGUUUAUAACUUACUGGGUUUUUUUUUCUUGAUUGCCAACAGAUUUUCUGCUUUCUGUUUCAUAAUAAAAACUUACAGGCCUGGAUUAUCUCUUCAAGAGGCCAUGGAAUCGCUUGCACUAGGAAGUGCCACCAAAGGUACUUUCGCACUUGAGGAAGAGCGCCACGAUGUACUAUUGCCGUGGAGACUAUAUGUCGAAUAUAUUACAAUUAAUAAUUUGUUGCGCGUGCGCAGGGAGAACUACGGAUUCGGCCUAUUUAACUAUUCAGCUUGCUAGAUUCACGUCAGCCCGUCUUGGUUUCAGCUUGGCCUGCCUGUUUUUUUUCCACGUCGCCUCGGCCCAUCUUAUUUUUGGCUCAGCCCGAGCGCGAGGAGAACUGCAAAGUUGGCCCAUUUAACUCUGUGCGGCAGUCUGUUGUUGUUGGAACUUUUUUUUUUAUUUUUAACCCUUUUUUUUUCUUUAUUUUUAAAAAUAACCUCAGCGGGGUUUUAUUUGCGCGGCCUAACCCUUUUGGCCGCGCCAGACCGCCUGGCGCGGCAGCAUGUUGCUGCCGCGCCACAUGCACUGGCGCGGCAGCCCCCUGCCACGCUGGCGCGGCGAGCCGCAGCGCCAGGCGGGUGCCAGGCGGGCGCUGACGUGGGCGGGCUUUCGCCGCGCCAGCCCGCCUGGCGCGGCAGGGCCAACACUUAGACCGCGCGCCGGCUCCCUUCCUCCUCCCUCCCUCCUUUCUUCCUCCUCCAGAAACCCCCGAGCCCGAAGCUCCAGCGCCGCCCCCCGCCGCCCCACCCCCAAAUCCACCCAAAAUUCGGCAUUUUCGGUGGGGGAAAGUAGUGGGAAUCGAUCCCUGCUUCGUGUGGAAGGUAUUCCCCUACUUAUUCUCGUGUUUUACCGUUGCAUUUGGUAGAUCGGAGGAUGUUUAGGUGAUUUAGGGUUAGGUUAGUUAUUUGAAAUUUCAAUGAAAUGCAAUGGUGUUUUGUGUUAGAUGAUACGUAGUUCAUACGCAAUUGAGUCUCUACCCGCGAUAUUGACGUGUAGAACUUAUUGAUUUAAGGAUAUAUUCAUUGAAUCGUAUAGUGCAAUGUAUAUGUGUAUUUUUUGUUUGCAAUUUGUCCAAUAUAUGUAAUGUGUGUAGUUGAUAUGUCGAAUAUGUGCAAUGUGUAGUGUAUAUGACAUGGUGAAAUGUUUGUAUUUUGUAGAUGGAUCGUUUAGUUCGAUUUUUUCAUGGUGGUGUUGUGAAACAAAAUGGGGAGUUAGAGAAUAUGAAUGAGUCAAUUGAAAUAUUUGAUGGUCCUCCAAGUUUUAGUGAUUUAGUUGACCGUGUAAUGACGAAGUAUGGAUGUAGAGUGGAUGAGAUAAGUUUGAGAGGUCGUUUUGAUUGUGGGAAAGCUAGAGCUCAUUAUGUUCUCAUGAAGUUAGCAUCCGAUGCGAAUUGGAAGCACUAUAAGGAUGUUGUGCACGAAGCUAAUGUUGCAUGUUUGGAGGUUAUAGUCGAAAUUGUUCGUAUGCCUGGUCCAAAUGUUGUCAUGAGGGAGGAAGUGACGGUAGUGAACCAUAAUGGUACCCAGGAGUCAGAAAUGCUGCAUCACGUGUUAGGUGAAACAGAACGUGAUUUUGACUUGGCUAUUGCCAAUGAUGAUUUUCCCAAUAACAUUUUUGAGAGGGAUGAAGCAAAUAUAGAUGUUGAUAAUGUCUCUAUGGGUUCCGAAGAUUGUGAAUUGGAGGAAGAUGGGGUAGUAGGUGAGGAGGUAGAGGAGGAAUCACUAUUUGAGAGUGGUGGGCAUGAAUAUGAGAACGUCGGGGUAGAAAAUGAAGAGGAUGGACUGCAAUUUGACACCGCAACCGUACAUGAUGUAGAAGGCAUUCAUCGUAUGGACGAUUGUUUUUCUUACACCCAGUGUGAGUUGCGGAUGUUAAAAGAACAUGAUGUCGAACUGCCAUCCGUUCCCAAUGAUAAGGACAUAAGUAUGGUUCACAAAGCAAUAUGUGAAUCUAGUAUGGUGAAUGCUGAAGGGAUGUCCAUUGGUGAGAGUCCAGUGAUUAAGAAGGGGAUGAAGUUCAAUAGUCUUGAGGAGCUGAAGUUUUUCUUGGCUGACUACGCGGUGAGGUUACAUAGACCUUUUAGCGUAGUUCACUCUGACAAGAACUUAAGAUACAAUGUGAUGUGCAAGCAAGGAUGUCAUUGGCGUGUAUGGUCUCGGCUAAUAUCAAGCACCGGACAAUGGAGAAUUUCAAAUGUUGUGCAACCGCAUACUUGUCGGUCGUCACAGCCGAAGCGAGAGCAUGUACAGUGCACAGCAAAGUAUCUUGGACGGCGUAUCCUAGGCAUUAUCCGUAAAGACAGCGAGACAUCGGUGCCAUCACUCGUGGAGUCCAUCUUCAUCUUUAGUGGGUACCGUGUGAAGUAUUCGAAGGCUUGGCGGGCGAAGCAACACGCUGUUGCCCUGCUUUGGGGCGACUGGAAGGAGUCGUACGGCAUGGUUCCUAGGGUACUCUCAGCUAUAACCUACUACAAUCCCGGAGUUAAAUGGUGGAUCGACUCAUGUGGCAUGAUGGUUCCUGACAAUGGAGUGUUGAAGCAUAUACUGCAAAGGGUAUUUUGGUGCUUCCCUCAAUGUAGUGAGGCAUUUCAACAUUGCCGUCCUGUGAUACUGGUGGACGGUACAUUCUUGACUGGCAAGUACAAGGGUACAUUAAUGAUGGCAGUUGCUGUAGAUCCAGAACAACAGAUUGUGCCUCUUGCUUUUGCCUUGGUCGAGAGUGAGAAUAAUGAGAGUUGGUCAUGGUUUAUGAAACUUGCUCGGGUAAAUGUUCUUGGACCUUCACGGAUAGUGUGUAUGAUAUCAGAUAGGCAUCAUGGGCUUCUAAAUUGUGCAAAGGACCACAUUGAUGGUUUUCCACCGCUUGUGCACAGGUGGUGCAUGAGGCACUUUGCUGCGAACAUGUCGCGUCGGCAGAAGAGCAAUCGUGUGAUUGGAAAAUUGAAAUUAUUAUGCACGGUUCAUACAGAGAGAGAAUUUCGUGAGAAGUUAGAAGAUUUAGUGAAGGACUUGAACGACGACGCAAAAGAAUGGUUGAAGGGUGAAAUGGGGGACAAGGAUAAAUGGGCGCAGGCUUUCGAUGAGGGAGGGAUGCGGUGGGGUAUUAUGACCACGAACUUCUCGGAAUCACUCAAUGGAGUUUUCAAAGGCAUCCGAAGUAGGCCCGUCGCUGGAAUUAUUGAAUACACAUUCGAAAAAUGCAACGCCUACUUUGUGAACCGAUGGGGAAAGGCGCGUGAUAUGUUAGAUCAAGGCUAUAGAAUUGGGCAAGUUGCAGAUAAUUAUUUAUCAGAGGCUGAGCUUAGAUCCGUGCACCACUUAGCAGAUCCGUACGGGCCAGAAAGGAUGGUGUAUUCUAUAAGAAGUUACGGUUCGACUAACAUUGGGGGUGAGAGUCAUGGAGGCCGACACUAUAGAGUGGAUCUGCACGAAGUUUCGUGCACCUGCAAUGUUCCUCAAUUGUUGCACCUUCCAUGUUCACACUUCAUUACAGCUUGCAAGGCAAGAGGUCUUAACUUUGAAAGCCCCAUGUACUUGUCACCGUUGUACUCUAGGGAGCACACCAUCAAAAUUUGGGAAUCAAGCUUUCAACCUUACCUAGAUCCGUCACAAUGGCCGGCAUAUGAAGGGGUAGGGUACGUGCCUAACCCCAGUUUAAUGAGAAAUAAAGUAGGAAGGCGGCAGAAGAAGCGUUUCACAGGCGAGAUGGACGUGUCAGAAGGGAGGCUUUCUGCAGAUUAUGAUACUGGUGAUUUUGAUAUUGACAAGUCGGAAAAUCGUUGCUCCAAGUGCCACAAGAUCAUUAGGAAUUGCACAUGCCGCAGUAGAAAAUCAAAAGGCACUAAAUCUAGACCGAGCAGUAAUAGGCCGGGUAAUUCGAACAAUUGGGUAUGCGCGUUGCUUGUAUUAUGCGUGUAUUAUGCGUGGCUAUUAUCUUAUCUUUUUUAUAGUAGUACAUUAUCAUAUUUUCCGUACUUAUCAUGUAAUGAAGCUUUUUACUAACGAUCAUUUAUGUUGUUUUUUUAGGAUGGCGGCUCCGGGGUACCCUCUUCUUGAGGCUGCUUACGACUUGCACCACCGUGCCUACCACCUCGCGGACAUGAAUGAGGUAUAACAAUGGUUGCUAUUUUUUGCUGAUGAAUGCAUACCUUAGGAUGAGAAUUGCAAGAUUUUCGUAUGAAAUGUUCUUAUAAAUUAAUUAAGGAUGUGCCUAUCGUUACUAUUCACUUGUGUAGAGUGUAAACAAUUUCAUACUGAAAAUGUCAUUUCUAUCAUAUUUGUGUUACUUACCACUUUAGAAGCCCGUUAUUCACAAUUGGAUUGACUUCUCAUUUUGGUAAUAAUCUUAUAAUGUUUUGCAGAAUUUGACACCACUGAGAGCUAGGGUGCACUCACCACUUAGGUGGGAUGAGCGGUACGCCCAGUACCUGCAGAGAGCAGGUUUCUUGGAUAUCGCUGUUCAGGUCGUGGGGGGUCUCCCUCCAAUGGACGGACCACUGUUGACCGCUAUGGUUGACAGGUGGCGUCCAGAGACUCACACGUUCCACAUGCCCUUCGGAGAAAUGACCAUCACAAUGCAGGAUGCGGCUAUGAUACUCGGCCUUCCACUGCAUGGGCUGCCAGUGACAGGUAUUAUCCAGAAUGAGAAUUGGCGUGAUAUGGUCGAGAUGCAUAUUGGGAUUAGGCCGCCAGAGCCAGAGGGCGGAGAUAGCUCGAAGAAGACGUCCGGUGUUAGCUCGGCAUGGUUGAGGGAGCACUUCGAGGUGUGUCCUCCGGGAGCAAAUGACGAGGUCGUGCAGCGCUUUGCUCGAGUGUGGCUAUGGCACUUUGUCAGUACAUUCCUCCUUCCAGAUGCAGCUGGGAACACAGUAUCGUGGAUGGUUCUCCCCAUUCUAGGUCAAGUUUGGGAAAACAUAGCCACUUACAGUUGGGGCUCAGCGGCUCUUGCCUGGCUGUACAGACAGUUAUAUGAGGCUUGCCGGCGCACAGCGAGAGAUUCUAAUGUUGGAGGGUGCACUUAUAUGCUCCAGAUAUGGAUUUGGGAGCGAAUGCCUGUGGGUCGACCUUCCCGCCUCCGUGUCGAUGUAAGUCACAACGGCUAAUUCCUUUUUCUACGUUAAUGUUCGAAAAACUAUUGUAUCAUGUGACCAAUUGGACUUACUUGCAAUUUCAGCCAUGGCAUCAAGACGAUUCUCUUCCCACGUUCUAUCACGUGUGGAAGCAUGUGUGGCCCGUUCGUGGCAAUCCGGAUAGGCGCUACAGGGCCUACACGAACGAGUUUGAUGUUCUCACGCAGAGUACCAGGUAAUUUGGUAACCAUAACAGUUUUUUAAGCUAACUUGCAUAUAAUGGUAGAUGAAAUAAGUAUUGCGUGAAAAUUUUUGAAGGUGGAAUGGAAACCGUAUGACCGUCAGCAGCUUAGCGAGAUCGUCUUUUCACCGACGUGCUACAGAGAUAGAGAGCUGUGGAGGUGCACGACCCCAAUGAUACUGUACUACGUGGUAGAGUUUCGUAUGCCGCAUAGGGUGAUGCGGCAGUUUGGGAGGAUGCAACCGUGCCCUCCUUUGGAAUUAUCGACUUCGCAGCAACUGCACAGGUACGCAGGAAUAAAUAACUAUUGGAGGGUAUUCAAUUAACGCAAUUAACGUGUUAUACUAAUACUUCACUAAUUUCUGAUGCAGUAUCGACCGCAGAAAGCGGUACAAGGAAAAUGAUUGGAGGGUGAAGCAUGACCGGUACAUCCACAUGUGGAACAACAAGGAAGGAUGCGAUCCUGAAGGUGGACCGUACUGGCGACCCAACAAUGAGUACAUAAGAUGGUACUGUACUUCGACGAGAACCAAAGUGAAACCAUCUUGGACUAAUGUGCCCAUUGAGGAUGCACCGUCUGAUGAUGACGCUAACAUAGCUGACGCGUACGACACCGUGACACGCCAUGGGACACAGCCUGAGCGUGCACCUCUCCACGACUACAUGGUAAGCUUUCGGUUUGUAAUUAUAGUAUCGUCACAUUGAUCACUUAUGGAAUGAAAACUACUGCGUGCAGGGACAGCAGCUUGCAAGGCUCUCUAACGAGGCGGGCGUCAUUAUGGAGCACGCUGUUGGGGAAGGUGAUAGUCUGCUUCGUGCUUUUGCAGAGGUAGAAGCCCAAACAAAUUUUCACUUAUACUCGUACUAUCUUUGUAACCAUCAAUAACAUAGUAGUGAAUAUAUGGCAGAGGGUUCGUAAAAGUUGCAGGCGAAUGGCGCAGAGGAUGAACUACAUGACAUCCUCAGAUGCGCACGACGGGGCCAAUGUCCAGGGUACUUCUUCAGGAUCACGUCGGACUGCAUUGGUGACUACCCCCAGGGCUGCAACACCGUCCACUGCGGCAGGUCCUAGCAGGAGAUCACGAGGUAAGGAACCCGCAUCCCCUCAGGAAAGCGAGGACUCGGAAGGUGAGCAGUCUGAGGAUGAUGACCCUACGUAUGGUGAGGAACUCGAGAUUUCUCACGAUGCUCCACCUGUGACUCAGACGCAGGGAGAGUCCAGCCAGGUAUAUUCAGAAGUUCCUCCAAUUUCAAUUAUACAUUUUAAUGUUCGCUCCCGAAGUGUCAUACAAAUUUUAUGAUUUGUGCCCAAUUAUUCAAUAGGAACCUGCAACUCAUACCCGGUUGCCACGCCGACGUCGUCGUUCCCGGGACCACACCGACGUUGGCAGCGCCAAUGUGCUGCCCACGCAUCCAAGGAGGGAGCGUCGCCCCAGAGAUCCUUUUAGCCCUCCGGAUGAGCGGCGGUCACGCCACUGAACCUAUCAUGUGCCCAAUUAUUCCAUGUCACGUUUCUAAAAGACUAAGUUGGUAAAAGACUAAGCAUGUUAGGUUUAUUCAUGUCACGUUUGUAAAAGACUAAGUUGGUUGUUACGUUUUUUUAUGUCCGUACAAUGUUAUAUGUUUGCUCCAUGAUGUACUUGUAUUUCGUGUAUUUUUCCGUAAAUGUUUAGCAGAAAAAUACGUUUCGGAUUGUGCAGCGCGCUCCUGAUGCCCCACCCCCUGGGGCGAAACCUAAUGAAAGUUUACUAAAAUUGGCUCGGCCGCGCACCCUUGCCGCCACCACCCCCCCCCCCCCCCCCCCCCCCCCCCGCGAAACCUACUGAAAUUGGGUCGCAUUUGGCGCGGCAAGGCCGGCCCCCGGCGCACCCUACUGAAAGUAGGUUGCGUUUGGCGCGGCAGCCCAGCCCUGCCGCGCCAAGCCGCCUGGCGCGGCAAGGCCGGCCUCCCACCCGGCGCAACCUACUGAAAGUAGGUUGCAUUUGGCGCGGCAGCUCAGGCCUGCCGCGCCAGGCCUCCUGGCGCGGCAAGGCCGGCCCCCGGCGCACCCUACUGAAAGUAGGUUGCGUUUGGCGCGGCAGCCCAGCCCUGCCGCGCCAAGCCGCCUGGCGCGGCAAGGCCUCCCACCCGGCGCAACCUACUGAAAGUAGGUUGCAUUUGGCGCGGCAGCUCAGGCCUGCCGCGCCAGGAGGCCUGGCGCGGCACGGCCGGCCCCCGGCGCAACCUACUGAAAGUAGGUUGCGUUUGGCGCGGCAGCCCAGCCCUGCCGCGCCAGGCCGCCUGGCGCGGCAAGGCCGGCCCCCGGCGCAACCUACUGAAAGUAGGGUGCGUUUGGCGCGGCAGCUCAGCCCUGCCGCGCCAGGACGCCUGGCGCGGCAGCAAGGGAAUUUAGAAAAUUCAAAUUCUGGCCAAUCCUGUUCCACUGAAUCCCCUCCCUUUUUCAUGGCCAAGAAAUCUCUAGCCAACCUUCCCCCAAGAUGUUAAUUGGUAAAAGGAUUGGGGUUGGUUUAAUAUAUUUCUCGAAAUAACUCAAUCCUUUUUUGCAUUAUGGGGGAAGUUGACCGUUGAAAUGUUGUUUCCAUUUUUAUAGAAUUUCAAGAUUACAAUGGCUCCGUUCCAUGCCUCAUUUCAUAGGGAAGCCCAAAGUGGCAAUAAAUAAAAAAACUAUUUCUUUUUUCCCAUUUUUCUUUCUUCAAAAGAAAAACCCUUCGAAAUUUUUUGAGUCGACUUUUGGGAAAACGUCAACGUUUGCUGGCGAAAUUGCAAAUACUAAUUUGUUAAGAAUUAAUCGAAUUGAAGUCAUAGUGUCAUCGUUGGCAGGAAUCGAUAUAUUCGCGAGAUCUGGGUCACAAUUUGUAUCUUUCUUUUUAUCAGAAUCCUAUUUUUGAGAUUUUCGAGUAUUUAUCUAAAGGAAGGAACAAACGAGAAUAAGAGAAAAUUGAUUCUAAUUUGUUUUAUCCAAGUGAGAUAUAUGGCAUAAUAUUCUUACAUUUUUAUAUGAAAGGCCUUUUUUUUUAUUUCUCUAUUCCACUCCAUUUAGGUCUAAGAAAGAACCCAAUACAAUGAAAUUCCACUAGUAUAAAAAAGAUAAAUAGAUACAAACACAAGGUCUCAAACCUUGUUAUAGAAUUUGUGUUUCAAAGAAAAGAAAUAUCAUAUAUAUUCAGCGAAUUAAAUAGAGUCGGCGAAUGAAGCGGAUUCAUUAACAACUCAAUUUACAGAUCAAAAAUGAAAAAAAAGAAAGCAUUGCCUUCUUUCCUAUACCUUAUUCCUUCCGGGUCGGGAAGAUGCAUGGAGAUUGACUACGGUGAUCCGUGGACAGGAGUUCAGGA